UCCAAAAUUUUUCCAUUUUGCAUUUUUCUGUGAGAGAUCUUUCAGCCAGUUUUCGACCAACCUUGUGUGAAGUUGGAUGAUUAGAGGCGUCGUCGUCCGCUAAGUAGUGGGAAAAUUCAAUAGGCAAAAGAAAAAAUGAAAAUUGGAAGUGUAUUAUUAGCCAUGGUAGGCAAGGGCGAUGUGCGGCAGUGGCCAAUUGCUUGAUGUGUAAUGUGUAGUAGUUAAACCGAAUGUGGUGGAAAAGUAAAGUACGAGAAAAAAGCUUUAAUUGAAAAUAUAUAAAAAGGCCAAAAAAUACAACAUAAAAAAUAUACACAACGACCGACCGAAAAAAGCAAAGUAGAAAGUGCGACAGCCAGCGAAUGACGUCCGACAAUUGUUAAACAACCGUGACGGUGCGCGUGGAAGAAACAAAGUGGUGUGCAAAAAAUUGCAGGCGGCGCGGUGCAGUGCAGUACGGUACGGUACGGUUGGGCGUGUGUGCUAUGCCUGCAUUGAAGGUGAAGGAGACGUGUAUGAAAAUAAAACACAAUUUUUUUUAUAAAAACAAAAGAUCAAUAUAUGUAAAAAAUGCAUGUGCUAAAAAGUGCUUCCGUUCUUCCAUUGUUUUCACUGGCGCUAUAGUGUCAACAGCUGUUACGUCCAAUCAUUUUUUAUCUGCUAAACGGCUGUCUGACAAACGGGUUCGUGGU